GAUGAACGCUGGCGGCGUGCCUAAUACAUGCAAGUCGAGCGAACAGACGAGGAGCUUGCUCCUCUGACGUUAGCGGCGGACGGGUGAGUAACACGUGGAUAACCUCCCUAUCAGACUGGGAUAACUUCGGGAAACCGGCGCUAAUACCGGAUAAUAUAUUGAACCGCAUGGUUCAAUAGUGAGAGACGGUUUUUCUGUCUCUUAUAGAUGGAUCCGCGCCGCAUUAGCUAGUUGGUAAGGUAACGGCUUACCACGGCAAGGAUGCGUAGACGACGUGAGAGAGUGGUAGGCCACACUGGAGCUGAGACACGGACCAGACGCCUACGAGAGGCAGCAGAAGGGAAUCGGACGCAAUGGGCGAAAGCCUGACGGAGCAACGCCGAGUGAGUGAUAAAGGUCUUCGGAUCGUAAAGCUCUGUUAUUAGGGAAGAACAAAUGUGUAAGGAACUAUGCACGUAUUGACGGUACCUAAUCAGAAAGCCACGGCUAACUACGUG
rnacentral:rRNA from 1 species